CUACAGGAAAAUGUGUGAUUGGAGUAGCAAACAAGAAGUCCUCACAGCAACCACCAUCUGAACACCUGUGCAUGUUGCAGGAGCUCCUCAUGCCAGCAGGCUUUGCUCUCUCCCUGCUUUCCCCUGGGCUGCCAAGCACUAGCGGAUCGGGUGGAGCAGGCAUGGAUGACAGCACCGCAAGCACCAGCAGGACUGUACGUGUGCAAUUUCUCUCUACCCAAGGACUUCUCCAGCGGCAAUCUUUUUCGAAGUGCAAAGGGAAUGCAGUGCACCUAUGGACCUAUCUGUAGAGCAAACCUAGUACUGAGUUCAGACUUAACAAAACUUCUUCUACAUUAUUGUGACAGUAUUGAGUGUCUUGUUCCAGGCCUCUCUUACUUUCACCUCAGGGCUGCACUGGAGUAGCGUUCCAGGAGGAAAUCUGGUCUGUGGAGUCCGUAGCUGUACAUCUCUCUGUAACUUCAACGCUGCAUUAAUCCCCCAGAAAAAGAUGGCAAGGGCCAAGAUCAUUGUUAUUCAAUCCAUACCCGCUGCUAGAACACUGGAGAGAACGGAGCCCAAGCAGAGGCACAGUUCCCGCCCUUCCCCACAUAAAGCUUCUCAGAUGGAGUGAGGCAGGCUGAUACAGUGUGGACCUGACCUCCUUCUCUACACAUUACACUUGCUGCACCUUAGAGAGGAGACAAGAGGAGAAGCCUGAUCAACAGGAUUCACAUGUCAAACAUCCAUAAUAGUACAACAAGCCUCCCGUUGAUUAAUGCCCCAGAGAGACCUGAAUUGAGAGACUGGGGUGGUCUUUUCAUGGCCUAGUUGAAAGAAUUUCUUGGCAGUGCUUCCAGCAAUGGACUUUAUUCAGCACUGUUGGCUAGAAAACUUGUUGGGAGUCUCUAGACAAUCUUAUAACCCUUUCACUUCACAGCCUAAUUUAAAACAUUUGUGUAUAUGUGGUGACUGCCAAUAAAAUACAGAAAAAUCUCAGACCAGAGGAAGUACAGGCUUUGUGGGUUCCUCCCUAGGUCCCACCCAUCACUGACACAUCUGGGAUGCAAAAAGGAUGACAGCAUGGGUCAUGUUUCAGUGCCAUGCACCAUGCACCCAAACCAAGUUAGUUCUAAAAUUCCUAGAGAGAUAGACAUUUACCAUCAGUAAAUGUCAUUGCCGAAUUGAGGGUGGCUGUUUAGAAAGGGAUGUGAAUGUUUAUGCUACUAGAUUUAUAACUGGGUACUUACAGUGAACAGCUGUUAAAGAAUAUAUUGGGAAUAAACUGAAAUUACUCA